GGGGAAUUUUGGACAAUGGGCGCAAGCCUGAUCCAGCCAUGCCGCGUGAGUGAAGAAGGCCUGGUUGUAAAGCUCUUUCGGCCGGGAAGAAAUCGUGGUCUCUAACAUAGGCCAUGGAUGACGGUACCGGACUAAGAAGCACCGGCUAACUACGUGCC
rnacentral:rRNA from 1 species